UACGUAGGGUGCGAGCGUUGUCCGGAAUUAUUGGGCGUAAAGGGCUCGUAGGCGGUCCAUCGCGUCGGGAGUGAAAAGCUGGGGCUUAACCCCAGUCCUGCUUUCGAUACGGGUGGACUAGAGGUAGGCAGGGGAGAAUGGAAUUCCUGGUGUAGCGGUGAAAUGCGCAGAUAUCAGGAGGAACACCGGUGGCGAAGGCGGCAUCCUGGACCGGCAUUGACGCUGAGGCGCGAAAGCCAGGGGAGCAAACGGG
rnacentral:rRNA from 1 species